rnacentral:lncRNA from 1 species
CGGCCCCUCCUCGGCGAGCCAUGCGUGCCACGGGCAGCUGAGGAGCUGCCGGUCGCCGCUGCCAAGUCUCCACUCCGCUUUUGUCUUGCCCUCCAGUGAAUGGGAAGAUGGAGAUGGAUGUUGAGGGAGUUUCUCCGCGCCCGGAGCCCAUCCCCCGCUCCCAGGGGGCUGGCGGAGCCUGCCAGGCGCCGCCACAGCCGCCCCAGCCCCAGCCGCCGCCGCAGCAGCUGGCUCAGGAUGAACUGCCCGGCGAGAGUGCAGGCGCUGAGGACAGCGACGAUCCCGAGACGAGACCCAACGGCGAGAAAGGAGAGAGCAAGGUCUUACUGGAAUCAGAUGUUGGAUGAAGUGCCUUGGGGCCCUGAUGAGUAA